AGAGUUAGUUAAAGGGGACACAAUUUAUCGCAAUCUGUGGUAACUGGUAAGGAGACUGGCCCCUGUCACUCAUAACUUUAUUUAUUUAUUUACUUAUUUAACCUGACGAGCGGAUGCCCAAUUAAAAUAUAUUACGCAGUUGGUAUUUAAGUGUAUUUGAGUUCAACAACAGUGUUAUUAAAAUACGUACGAUUAAUAGAAGAAUAAAGAAAACACAAAUAUGUACUUUGGUUAUGUUCAACAUGAUCAGAUACAGUAGGAGAAGGGUGUCUAAAUUGACAUGCCUCAUGCAGAGAUGUUUAUUAUACUGGUCAUAUGUAGUACAUGAUUGCAUAGUAAACGGAGUAAUGUUACUGGUAGGUCGCGCAGAAACUCUGAAGUUCACGUGUUGAAGAAGAAUCAAUUUUCCUACAUAUGAAAUUCUGAAGAAAGAUGUCACGUGCAAGACUUUGACAACAGCCUACCAAGGAUCAUAACUAGGUUUUACUGUACCUAACAAUACGUAUACCUAUGGUACUGACUACUGAAGAUAUUUAAACAUGGAGGAACAAAAAUAUUAUAUAAGAAGUCACCACCACAAUUGGGGGUCACCGAGUCUGACAGGGAUAACACUGGUGAUGUCGGUAUUAUCAUUUGUUAAUUUGGCGCACGUUUCUUUAACAUGUGGCUCGGUUAUUGAAUCGAUUGGAGUACCUAGAAGACCUCCACGAACUGAUGUUGGAAGCUUCGAGUGUGUUACGUCACCAGUCGACAAAUCGAAAAGAGACGUGUUUAUUUAUUGGCAAAAUAUUGAAGACAACGAGAAAUGUGGUGACUCAUUUGAGUAUCUUGCUUACUAUACUUCCACGACUACAGAUAACAAAACCAUUAUUCACCGCAGUAAUGAAACAUAUAAUAACUAUGCUAAGUUUGAAGGACUUAGUACCGAUAUUGGGUACAAUUUUACCGUGUAUUCAUCAAAUAAAGAAGGUUUAUCAGCCGAGUAUUCGACAAUUUUUGUUCCCAAUGAAUCAGACAAACUUGACGAACUGUUACCAUUUACAAAAAUGGAAUUUUAUGAACGUGGUGUAUUUGAACUUUCGUGGAAAUAUGCCAGUAGUAAAAAAUUAUUAGCAGCUAAUCAAGUCAAUGAUUAUACUUUAUUUUGGUGUGAAAAUGAUGAAAACAGUUAUAAUAAAUACCAGUGUAAUGGUUCCAUGAACUGGAUGCAUAUACCAAGUUCAGAAUCGUACUAUAAUUUUAUUGUACCAGAUAAAAUGAAAAUCUAUCAGUUUGCAAUAAGUGCUAACAGUCAAAGCACACUGAAGACUGGUAUUACAAGUCCUUAUCAACCCAUUUCUAGUAGUAGCGGGAUGGUAUGGGUAUUAUGCACAGUACUACCUAAUAAAAUCGUUGGAAAAAUAAAAAACGUCUGGGUAAAUAUAAUUAGCUCGACAUCUAUGGAAUUGAGAUGGAAACUUGACUGCUCUGAUAGAAUAGGUGCAGUUCUAGGAUUUCGUAUAUUUUACUGUCCUGUAGUAUCCAUGAAUAAUUCCACUUGUAAAGAACCUAUAUUAAAUGAGACCGUUAGUAGUGAGAUGGCCCAAGACAGCAGAGGAAAAGUAACCAUUACGAAACUCAAGUCAUAUACUACAUACAUGGUUACCAUUGCAUCAAUCACAAACCAUGGUGAAGGGUUCAACAUAGUGAUCCUAUGCUCAACACCACUCUAGAAGAAGCAGCAGGAUUUGAAUGAUUCAUUUGAUGAGCCGAAAGUCAUAAAUGAACAACAUCGUAUUACGGUUCACGACACAAAGUGUCACCUGGAUCACCUU
rnacentral:misc_RNA from 1 species